CUCGUAGGCGGUUCGUCGCGUCCGGUGUGAAAGUCCAUCGCUUAACGGUGGAUCCGCGCCGGGUACGGGCGGGCUUGAGUGCGGUAGGGGAGACUGGAAUUCCCGGUGUAACGGUGGAAUGUGUAGAUAUCGGGAAGAACACCAAUGGCGAAGGCAGGUCUCUGGGCCGUCACUGACGCUGAGGAGCGAAAGCGUGGGGAGGCGAGCA
rnacentral:rRNA from 1 species